rnacentral:rRNA from 1 species
CGGCCCCUGGACAAGACUGACGCUCAGGUGCGAAAGCGUGGGAGCAAACAGGAUUAGAUACCUGGUAGUCACGCUGUAAACGAUGUCGAUUUGGAGGUUGUUCCCUUGAGGAGUGGCUUCCGGAGCUAACGCGUUAAAUCGACCGCUGGGGAGUACGGCCGCAAGGUUAAAACUCAAAUGAAUUGACGGGGGCCCGCACAAGCGGUGGAGCAUGUGGUUUAAUUCGAUGCAACGCGAAGAACCUUACCUACUCUUGACAUCCAGAGAAUUUAGCAGAGAUGCUUUAGUGCCUUCGGGAACUCUGAGACAGGUGCUGCGUGGCUGUCGUCAGCUCGUGUUGUGAAAUGUUGGGUUAAGUCCCGCAACGAGCGCAACCCUUAUCCUUUGUUGCCAGCACAUUAUGGUGGGAACUCAAAGGAGACUGCCGGUGAUAAACCGGAGGAAGGUGGGGAUGACGUCAAGUCAUCAUGGCCCUUACGAGUAGGGCUACACACGUGCUACAAUGGCGUAUACAAAGAGAAGCGACCUCGCGAGAGCAAGCGGAACUCAUAAAGUACGUCGUAGUCCGGAUUGGAGUCUGCAACUCGACUCCAUGAAGUCGGAAUCGCUAGUAAUCGUAGAUCAGAAUGCUACGGUGAAUACGUUCCCGGGCCUUGUACACACCGCCCGUCACACCAUGGGAGUGGGUUGCAAAAGAAGUAGGUAGCUUAACCUUCGGGAGGGCGCUUACCACUUUGUGAUUCAUGACUGGGGUGAAGUCGUAACAAGGUAACCA